rfam:TPA: Bos taurus chromosome 11, whole genome shotgun sequence.
UCCCUGAUAGCUCAGUUGGUAAAGAAUCAGCCUGCAAUGCAGGAGACCCUGGUUUGAUUCCUGGCUUGGGAA